UGGACCAAUUGAGAAAAGGCAUGGAGCUCUAUAACAUGAAGAAAGUGUUGCAGGCCCAUGCAGACCUGUGUCAGCCUCAUUUUGUCCCAACAGAAGAUGAUGAGGUGGAUGCAGCCUUUCUUCUGGAAAUCUGUCGACUACAGUCUACAGUGACCAAGGCUCUAUAAGGUACAGUCUGGAGGUCACCGAUAUGAACAAUUUCCAAGAUUUCCUCCAAGAGAUCGAGGAUUGUGAUGAUGGCCAACUGACUGUUCCAAAAGUGAUGCAGUGGCUGACGGGACAGGCACACAAGCCGGUCUUACCCAGCGAGAAGAGGGACUUCGAUGUGUCUAUACAAUUCAAGCAUGAUUGUGAUGGACACGCAAUUUGUUUUCCGACAGUGAGUGCCUGCAGUCGCACGGUGACUCUUCCUGUAUUGCACAUGAGCACAAUUCAGCAGUUCAGAAAUAUAAUGGAGAUGGCCUUAACCCACGGAGGCUUUUGUUCAUGGUCCACGGAGGCU